AGAGUUUGAUCAUGGCUCAGGACGAACGCUGGCGGCGUGCUUAACACAUGCAAGUCGAGCGGUAAGGCCCUUUCGGGGGUACACGAGCGGCGAACGGGUGAGUAACACGUGGGUGACCUGCCCUCAGCUCUGGGAUAAGCCCGGGAAACUGGGUCUAAUACUGGAUAUGACUCCAUGACGCAUGUUGUGGGGUGGAAAGCCUUGUGCGGCUGGGGAUGGGCCCGCGGCCUAUCAGCUUGUUGGUGGGGUGAUGGCCUACCAAGGCGACGACGGGUAGCCGGCCUGAGAGGGCGACCGGCCACACUGGGACUGAGACACGGCCCAGACUCCUACGGGAGGCAGCAGUGGGGAAUCUUGCGCAAUGGGCGAAAGCCUGACGCAGCGACGCCGCGUGAGGGAUGACGGCCUUCGGGUUGUAAACCUCUUUCAGCUCCGACGAAGCGGAAGUGACGGUAGGAGCAGAAGAAGCACCGGCCAACUACGUGCCAGCAGCGGCGGUAAUAC
rnacentral:rRNA from 1 species